rnacentral:rRNA from 1 species
UACAGAGGUGGCAAGCGUUGUUCGGAAUUACUGGGCGUAAAGGGCGCGUAGGCGGCUUGGUCAGUCCCGUGUGAAAUCCCUCGGCUCAACUGAGGAACUGCACGGGAAACUGCCUGGCUUGAGUUCGGGAGAGGGAAGCGGAAUUCCGGGUGUAGCGGUGAAAUGCGUAGAGAUCCGGAAGAACACCGGUGGCGAAGGCGGUGAGCUGGGCAGUUGCUGACACUGAGGCGCGACAGCGUGGGGAGCAAACGGG